rnacentral:rRNA from 1 species
GACGAACGCUGGCGGCGUGCCUAAUACAUGCAAGUAGAACGCAGUUGCGAACGGGUGAGUAAAGCGUAGGUAACUGCCUCAUAGCGGGGGGUAACUAUCGGAAACGAUAGCUAAUACCCCAAACAGUGAGAUGGACCUGCGUGGUAUUAGCUAGUUGGUGAGGUAAAGGGUCACCAUGGCGGCGAUACAUAGCCGACCUGAGAGGGGGGUCGGGCAAACUGGGACUGGGGCACGGCCCAGAACGCUAGGGUAGGGAGCAGUAGGGAAUCUUCGGAAAUGGAUGGAAGUCUGAACGAGCAACGGCGCGGGAGUGAAGAAGGUUUUCGGAGCGUAAAGGUCUGUUGUUAGAGAAGCGGUAACUAACGAGAAAGGGACGGCUAACUACGUGCCAGCAGCCGCGGUAAUAC